rnacentral:rRNA from 1 species
CUGGUAGUCCACGCCGUAAACGUUGGGAACUAGAUGUGGGGUCCAUUCCACGGAUUCCGUGUCGCAGCUAACGCAUUAAGUUCCCCGCCUGGGGAGUACGGCCGCAAGGCUAAAACUCAAAGGAAUUGACGGGGGCCCGCACAAGCGGCGGAGCAUGCGGAUUAAUUCGAUGCAACGCGAAGAACCUUACCAAGGCUUGACAUGCACCUGAAAAGGCUGGAAACAGUCUCCUCGCAAGACAGGUGCACAGGUGGUGCAUGGUUGUCGUCAGCUCGUGUCGUGAGAUGUUGGGUUAAGUCCCGCAACGAGCGCAACCCUCGUUCUAUGUUGCCAGCGCGUAAUGGCGGGAACUCAUAGGAGACUGCCGGGGUCAACUCGGAGGAAGGUGGGGAUGACGUCAAAUCAUCAUGCCCCUUAUGUCUUGGGCUUCACGCAUGCUACAAUGGCCGGUACAAAGGGCUGCAAUACCGUAAGGUGGAGCGAAUCCCAAAAAGCCGGUCUCAGUUCGGAUUGAGGUCUGCAACUCGACCUCAUGAAGUCGGAGUCGCUAGUAAUCGCAGAUCAGCAACGCUGCGGUGAAUACGUUCCCGGGCCUUGUACACACCGCCCGUCAAGUCAUGAAAGUCGGUAACACCCGAAGCCGGUGGCCCAACCCUUGUGGAGGGAGCCGUCGAAGGUGGGAUCGGUGA